rnacentral:rRNA from 1 species
GCCUGCGGCGAAAGGACGUUAAAUACAUCAGGUUCCAAUGGUUCAAUCAAGUUAAGCAACGUUGCGCGUGGUUAGUAUCCAGAUAGCUGACCAUUUGGGUAAUAGCGUGCUGCUGGCU